CGGCCAUACCACCCUGAACGCGCCCGAUCUCGUCUGAUCUCGGAAGCUAAGCAGGGUCGGGCCUGGUUAGUACUUGGAUGGGAGAAGUGACAUUCCGCCUAAAGGAGUUUCCCUUUAUGAGAACUUGCUAUUG
rnacentral:rRNA from 1 species